UACUGAGGGUGCAAACGUUAUCCGGAAUUACUGGGCGUAAAGGGCGUGUAGGCGGUUUGUUAAGUCCGAUGUUAAAGGCCGGGGCUCAACCCCGGUACGGCGUUGGAUACUGGCAAACUAGACGGCUGGAGAGGCAAGUGGAAUUACCAGUGUAGCGGUGGAAUGCGUAGAUACUGGUAGGAACACUCAUUGCGAAGGCAGCUUGCUGGACAGCACGUGACGCUAAGGCGCGAAAGUGUGGGGAGCAAAC
rnacentral:rRNA from 1 species